GUGUGUGAGUGAUGUGUGUGAGAGUGCCGUGUGUGAGUGAUGGGUGUGAGAGUGCCGUGUGUGAGUGAUGGGUGUGAGAGAGUGCUCUGUGAGAGUGCUGUGAGAGAGUGCUGUGUGUGUGUGAAAGUGCUGUGUGUGAUGGGUGUGAGAGUGCUGUGUGUGUGUGUGUGAGUGCUCUGUGAGAGUGCGCUGUGUGUGAUGGUGUGAGAGUGCUGGG